rnacentral:rRNA from 1 species
GAUGAACGCUGGCGGCGUGCCUAAUACAUGCAAGUCGAGCGAACGGACGAGAAGCUUGCUUCUCUGAUGUUAGCGGCGGACGGGUGAGUAACACGUGGAUAACCUACCUAUAAGACUGGGAUAACUUCGGGAAACCGGAGCUAAUACCGGAUGAUAUUUUGAACCGCAUGGUUCAAAAGUGAAAGACGGUCUUGCUGUCACUUAUAGAUGGAUCCGCGCUGCAUUAGCUAGUUGGUAAGGUAACGGCUUACCAAGGCAACGAUGCAUAGCCGACCUGAGAGGGUGAUCAGCCACACUGGAACUGAGACACGGUCCAGACUCCUACGGGAGGCAGCAGUGGGGAAUAUUGCGCAAUGGGCGAAAGCCUGACGGAGCAACGCCGCGUGAGUGAUGAAGGUCUUCGGGUCGUAAAACUCUGUUAUUAGGGAAGAACAUAAGUGUGUGUAACUGUGCACGUCUUGACGGUACCUAAUCAGAAAGCCACGGCUAACUACGUG